rnacentral:rRNA from 1 species
UUGCCCAGACAACUAGGAUGUUGGCUUAGAAGCAGCCAUCAUUUAAAGAGUGCGUAAUAGCUCACUAGUCGAGUGACACUGCGCCGAAAAUGUACCGGGGCUAAACAUAUUACCGAAGCUGUGGAUUAUCCGUAAGGAUAAUGGUAGGAGAGCGUUCUAAACGUGUCGAAGCAUGAUCGUAAGGACAUGUGGAAUGUUUAGAAGUGAGAAUGCCGGUGUGAGUAGCGAAAGAUGGGUGAGAAUCCCAUCCACCGAUUGACUAAGGUUUCCAGAGGAAGGCUCGUCCGCUCUGGGUUAGUCGGGACCUAAGCCGAGGCCGAUAGGCGUAGGCGAUGGAUAACAGGUAGAUAUUCCUGUACCACCUAUGAUUGUUUGAACGAUGGGGGGACGCAGUAGGAUAGGCGAAGCGUGCUGUUGGAGUGCACGUCCAAGCAAUAAGACUGAGUGUUAGGCAAAUCCGGCACUCGUAAGGUUGAGUUGUGAUGGGGAGUUGGAUCAUGUAUCCGACGAGUCGUUGAUUUCACACUGCCAAGAAAAGCCUCUAGUUAGAAAAUAGGUGCCCGUACCGCAAACCGACACAGGUAGUCAAGAUGAGAAUUCUAAGGUGAGCGAGCGAACUCUCGUUAAGGAACUCGGCAAAAUGACCCCGUAACUUCGGGAGAAGGGGUGCUUUUUAGGGUGCAAGCCUUGAAGAGCCGCAGUGAAUAGGCCCAAGCGACUGUUUAUCAAAAACACAGGUCUCUGCUAAACCGUAAGGUGAUGUAUAGGGGCUGACGCCUGCCCGGUGCUGGAAGGUUAAGAGGAGUGGUUAGCUUC